rnacentral:rRNA from 1 species
CAGUAGCCGCGGUAAUACGUAGGUCCCGAGCGUUGUCCGGAUUUAUUGGGCGUAAAGCGAGCGCAGGCGGUUAGAUAAGUCUGAAGUUAAAGGCUGUGGCUUAACCAUAGUACGCUUUGGAAACUGUUUAACUUGAGUGCAGAAGGGGAGAGUGGAAUUCCAUGUGUAGCGGUGAAAUGCGUAGAUAUAUGGAGGAACACCGGUGGCGAAAGCGGCUCUCUGGUCUGUAACUGACGCUGAGGCUCGAAAGCGUGGGGAGCGAACAGGAUUAGAUACCCCAGUAGUCCCUGUCUCUUAUACA